rnacentral:lncRNA from 1 species
CAAAAUACCACAAACUAUGUGAUGAUAAACAACAGUAAUUUGUUUCUUACAAUUCUGAAGGCUGGAAUGUCCAAGAUCAUGAUGCCAGCAGAUUCAGUGUCUGGAGGACCCUCAUGAUUAUAUUUGGGACCCACCUGAAUAAUCCAGGAAUAUCUCCUCGACAUCAACAUUCUUAAUUUAAUCCCACUGACAAGAUCUCUUUUGCCAUAUAAGCACUUCUCCUUGAUGCCACCACGCAAAGAAGAACUUGCUUGUUUCCCCUUCUACC